GUGCCAGCAGCCGCGGUAAUACGUAGGUGGCGAGCGUUGUCCGGAAUUACUGGGCGUAAAGAGCGCGUAGGCGGCUAUUUAAGUCAGAUGUGAAAACUUGGGGCUCAACCGCAAGAUUGCAUUUGAAACUGAAUAGCUUGAGGGCAAGAGAGGAAAGCGGAAUUCCCAGUGUAGCAGUGAAAUGCGUAGAUAUUGGGAGGAACACCAGUGGCGAAGGCGGCUUUCUGGCUUGUACCUGACGCUGAGGCGCGAAAGCGUGGGGAGCGAACGGGAUUAGAUACCCCGGUAGUCCACGCCGUAAACGAUGGGCACUAGGUGUAGGAGGUAUCGACCCCUUCUGUGCCGCAGCUAACGCAUUAAGUGCCCCGCCUGGGGAGUACGGCCGCAAGGUUGAAACUCAAAUAAAUUGACGG
rnacentral:rRNA from 1 species